ACCCCCUCCCCACAAAAAAUUUGAAAAUACGCCACUGUAGAGGACACCACACCAAAAAUAAAACGUAUACAACGACCGAUAGAACGCGCUAUUAGGUAUUUUCAAGAAGCGCAAGCACGUGAGCGCAUAUGUCGACACGUCCAUCAUUCGUAGCCGGCGACCGCGCGCCGGUCUGACGAGCGCUAGUUCGGGAUCGCAAAUUAUUAUUUCAUGAAUCUUCAUCAAGUACUAUGAACCAUAAAAUGCAUAUACGCGUAUACGUGUAUAGUACAUCAUAUUUUGCCGCAAUAUUUUUAAUAUUCGGGGCCCGGAGCCUGACCAAGUUCACUACGUCUCGGUCAUAAUACAAUUUGUAUACUAACGCCUAUCCUGCCCUUUAUAUUUGCUACAAAUUACUACUUUCUCUAUCCGUUACUCAAGUAAGUUGCGAGCGAGAUUUUUCUAAACUAAAAUACGUCCAAUCAUAUUUGAGAAGUACAUUGUCACAAGACCGUUUGGAAAGUUUUAUGCUCAUGAGUACUGAGUAUUGUUAAAUGGAGUUGACGCGGAUGAAAUAAUUGACAAAGCGGCUAUCAAAAAUUCUAAAAAUAUUUUAAAUUGAUUACAUUGAUAGAAAACAAGCGGCGAUUUUGAAAUCCCCUAGGCGAUCUGCACACAAACUUCGGCUGCUUUAAGGAUUUCUAGUCGCCACAGCUCACACGGCAAGAAGAUCAAUGAAUGUUUUGCGUGAACAUUUCCCCGAACGGCUCAUCUCUCUUAGAGGUGAUCUUCAGUGGCCAGCACGAUCGCCAGAUUUAGCCCCAUGUGAUUUUUUCCCAUGGGGCUACCUUAAAUCGUUGGUAUACACUGAUCGUCCAAGGACCCUUCGUCAUCUCAAAAACAAUAUACGUGCUGCUAUCGCCGUCAUAAGCACAGAUAUGCUGGAAAAAGUGGACAACAAUUUCAAAUUCCGACUAUCUCAGUGCAUUGAUGAGAACGGUAGCCACCUUCGAGAUGUCGUUUUUAAAACCAAAUAAAAUAAAACUUUAAAUAUACUUCUAUACACAGAAAAAAUAAUUAAAUCAAUAUUGCCAAUA